UAAGAAUAAAACUCAUUUAUUUAUUCCCUUUUUACAUAAGAAUAAAACUUACAUUUAGAGGACAAUCAACACAAGGUUCCUUUAUCCUCUUUUACCUUUCACGAUAAAUUGGAUAAACUCAGAGAAAAAAAGCAUUGAAAUUGAUUUUUAUUGGCCAAUCAGAAUUCUCUCCUGAGGUCUAUAAUUUAUAUUGGACCUUUUGAAUAACGAUCUGGAAGAUCUCAUGAAAAUUGAACAUUUGCGUAUAGAAGAUAUAAAACAGAUAUUGGUCAUUGAAAUUGAUUUUUAUUGACCAAUCAGAAUUCUCUCCCAAGGUCUAUAAUUUAUAUUGAACCUUUUGAAUAACAGUCCGGAAGAUCUCACGAAAAUUGAACAUUUGCGCGUAGAAGAUAUAAAACAGAUAUUGGUCAUUCUAGAAAAAUAUUUCGCGAUUGAUUUACCAAAAAAUGAGUUAAAUCUAUUAGAUUUUUUUCGUCUUUUUUUUUUAUUAAGAUGAAAAUAGGUUUUGAAUCUUUAGCACAAUUCAUAUAUUC
rnacentral:lncRNA from 1 species